rnacentral:rRNA from 1 species
GACGAACGCUGGCGGCGUGCCUAACACAUGCAAGUCGAACGGAGAAUUAGCAAUAAUUCUUAGUGGCGAACGGGUGAGUAACGCGUAGACAACCUACCCUUUAGAUGGGGACAACACCGCGAAAGUGGUGCUAAUACCGAAUAUUGCUUGAGAAGCGCAUGCUUUGCAAACUAAAGAUGGCCUCUAUUUAUAAGCUAUCGCUAAAGCAUGGGUAUGCGUCUGAUUAGCUAGUUGGUGAGAUAAAAGCUCACCAAGGCAACGAUCAGUAGCCGGUCGGAGAGGAUGAACGGCCACACUGGGACUGAGACACGGACCAGACUCCUACGGGAGGCAGCAGUGGGGAAUCUUCCGCAAUGGACGAAAGUCUGACGGAGCAACGCCGCGUGAGUGAUGAAGGUUUUCGGAUCGUAAAACUCUGUUGUUAAGGACGAGUGUAUAGAUUGUGAAUAAUGGUUUAUAAUGACGGUACCUAACGAGGAAGCCACGGCUAACUACGUGCCAGCCGCCGCAGUAA